rnacentral:rRNA from 1 species
UACGUAGGGUGCAAGCGUUACUCGGAAUUACUGGGCGUAAAGCGUGCGCAGGCGGCGCGUUAAGUCAGGUGUGAAAGCCCCGAGCUUAACUUGGGAAUUGCGCUUGUGACUGGCGUGCUGGAGUGUGGCAGAGGGAGGUGGAAUUCCACGUGUAGCAGUGAAAUGCGUAGAGAUGUGGAGGAACACCGAUGGCGAAGGCAGCCUCCUGGGCCAGCACUGACGCUCAUGCACGAAAGCGUGGGGAGCAAACAGG